rnacentral:lncRNA from 1 species
CGUAUGCAAAAGCAAAUAUAGAGUAUAAAACCAUCGGUAUCAAUGAACUUUAAGGAACAUGUGGCAUACACGUCUAAUAGUAGCUGUGAAUGAUGAAGUGUUUUCAAUAACAAGGACAUAUGUUUUGUAUGGGGCAGGACAUGUAGGACUGCACAGCCCAAAUCAAUUACAAUUUUCUGGUCAAAAAGCUUCCAACUUAUGUCAACUUUUACAAGCAACAUCCUCAAAACUUUUUCACCAAUUACUCCAUUCCUUUUCAUUAAAUUUACAACCAAAUAUAAACUGUGAUGUGAUCCUCAUAAAAGUCUCCAUGUGAGAAAAAGUUAAAGCAUUUUGGCCCAACCUUACCACUUGAAAGAACCAAAACUAAGGACACUAUCCAACAAAGCAACAGGCAGAGGCCUGCAUACACCAAGGUACAAAUGAAACAACAUUUCCCACGACAUAUCUCUUGUUUGGUAGCUAAGAAAAUAUACAAUCCUUACAUAUUUCCCACAAAUAAUUGAGAUAAUUUUACCACUCUAAUCUGGUUAGAAAGAGAGAGGAAAGGGCAGAAGCAUUGUAGCAGUCAAUUUAUCAACUCCCUGACAAAAACAAAACUGUAACUAGGUGAUAUUUUCACCAUUUAUUUUACUCGUAAAUUUCGGAGGAAUCAAGGAUUG